CUUCUGGUGAGCUUGAUAUCAUGAAGAGUAUUCUGGAGCAACUCAAAAAAGAUGAUCGCGGGUCAGAUAGAAAUGUGUUGUUGAAGAGAAUUCAUGAAGAACUUUCGAAGAAAAAGUACUUAAUUGUCAUGGAUGAUGUGUGGAGCAUUGAUGACGGGUGGUGGAGACGGAUCUUAGAAGGACUUCCCGAAGCAAAGAAGCAGGGCAGCUGUAUCAUUAUUACAUCUAGAAAUGAAGAAGUUGUUAAGAGAAUGGGAGUCAAGGAAGAACAAAUUCAUCGACCCAAGUUGCUUUCUGAGGAAGAGGGCUGGUCGUUACUUUGCAAGGUUGCGUUCGCGUCAUCCGAG
rnacentral:misc_RNA from 1 species